GGCGGCCAGGACCACGAUGGGUCCUGGGAGGUGGGGGAUGGCGGCGCUGACCCGCCUCUCCCUGGAGCCCGGCCCUGCCCUCCCCGCCAGCCAGGGGGCCGCCUCGAGGGGGCGGCUGGACACUGCCCACGGGCUCCCGAGUGUCACGCCUCGUGUGGCCUGUGUUGGGGGCAUGCUCAGUGGAUAACAGGGGGAAAAUGUAAGAGAUUUUGCAAAAAAAGUUCUAUUCAUAACGUCGAGUCACUCAGGGGGUGUGGUUGCGCGUGGCCCGAGGGGGCAGGGGCUGUGCAGACCUGCACACUCCGGACCUCACGGAGGCAGCGGCCACGUUCACUGCCGAUCAGAACGGAGCCAGUCCUGGCCGGCGCUCAGCGUGGACCCGGCGGGAGAGCAGCCGACUGCCCCGCUGGCGACGCUCGGUCCUGCCUGUGGGUUUCCCCAGGAACCUGGCCCCACAGGGUCGGGGCAGCGGACUGAGCCGUGAUCAGCAAGGUCUGAACGUACCCGGGCCUCCAGCGUUUGGCCGUCACCUCCUCGUUCCCCAAGUGGACACACGGACACCAGCGUCUUCGUGGAGAAGGGGUCACCUGGCCACCAGGGGUUCCCCAGAAGAGCCGUGCCCCGGGCCUCCCUCCCCGUCUGCCUGCCCAUGCACCAUCCUGCUCACCCAUUACCUCCUGGUGUUCCUUCCUGUUUUGAUGCAUUUCUUAUUGCUUAAAUCCCUUCCCGAGCGGUGCCCUGAGCAGAUUUAAAGCACGAGAAAUGUCUUCUGAGAGACCUUGAAGUCCGAUGGCUGGAGGCUGCUGUGGGGCUGUGACUGCCCUUGACCAUCCAGCUGGGCAGAGCGGUGUUGGGGGCCUGUGGGAGGACCGACCUCUGUCAUCCGUGGAGCUGCCCCCGAUUUGGUCCUCUGGGCCAGCUCCACGUGGUGCCUGCGUGACCCUGGCCAGGAUCCUGGGACCCAGAUGCAGCACGGCCCUGAGCUCGGAGCUCUGCCCUCCACAUACAAGAACAGAGGCCGCCCUCAUGUCCGGGAGCUGGCGGGGACCACAGUCCAACCAGAAGAGGGGCGCCUGCUGGCUCUGUCAGCUUAGCGGCUGACUUCAGCUCAGGGAGCCCCGCUGGAAAACGGGAGGAACUGGAACAGACCCCUCUCUAGAGCGGCCGCGAUGGCCGACGCCGCCGGCAGGACCACGCGGACCGUGGCCGCGGCCAGGGCGCACCUCGCACCUGUCAGGGAGGCUCCGAUAACACGGAUAAGAAGUCGCAGCGUUGGCGAGGGCGCGGAGGACGGGAGCCUGUCCGGGAGUGGCCGCCGCCGGGCCCAGGAGGGGGUCCUUGGAAAGCCAGAGUGCCCGUAAGAUGCGGCCCUUCUGCUCCCGGGUAUCUACCCAGAGAAAACGAAACCACAACUCAAAACAUGCCCGUGCCCGGCGCUCAGGGCUGUGCCCGCGCCCCGCGCUCAUGGCAGGACCGCGCUCCAUGCUCACGGCUGUGCCCGCGCCCCGCGCUCACAGCAGGACCGCACUCCACGCCCACUGCAGGACCUCACCCCAUGUUCACCGCAGUGCCUGCACCCCACAUUCACGGCAGUAUUGCCGGUGACAGGAGGGCAGCGGUGUCUCCCCACUGAGCAGGGGCUCACAGAGACACGUCACGGACAUGUCAGAAAUCCUGCCAUCUCCGAGGACAGGAUGGAGCUCAAGGCCACCGCGUAAAGGCCACAAACAGAUCUCAUCCGUGUGGAAUCCACACAGACACACGAGGCUCAGCCCCCAGGCUCUGAGGACACACUGGCGGUUACCAGAGGUGGGGGGCAUGGAGGGGUGAGGAAUGUGCAAACUGCUUUGCCUUUCAAAUAAACAAAUAAAAAAA